rnacentral:rRNA from 1 species
GACGAUCGCUGGCGGCGUGCCUAAUACAUGCAAGUAGAACGCACAGUUUAUACCGUAGCUUGCUACACCAUAGACUGUGAGUUGCGAACGGGUGAGUAACGCGUAGGUAACCUGCCUGGUAGCGGGGGAUAACCAUUGGAAACGAUAGCUAAUACCGCAUAAUAUUGAUUAUUGCAUGAUAAUUGAUUGAAAGAUGCUAUUGCAUCACUACCAGAUGGACCUGCGUUGUAUUAGCUAGUAGGUGAGGUAACGGCUCACCUAGGCGACGAUACAUAGCCGACCUGAGAGGGUGAUCGGCCACACUGGGACUGAGACACGGCCCAGACUCCUACGGGAGGCAGCAGUAGGGAAUCUUCGGCAAUGGACGAAAGUCUGACCGAGCAACGCCGCGUGAGUGAAGAAGGUUUUCGGAUCGUAAAGCUCUGUUGUAAGAGAAGAACGGGUGUGAGAGUGGAAAGUUCACACUGUGACGGUAUCUUACCAGAAAGGGACGGCUAACUACGUG